rnacentral:rRNA from 1 species
CUUGGUCAUUUAGAGGAAGUAAAAGUCGUAACAAGGUUUCCGUAGGUGAACCUGCGGAAGGAUCAUUACCGAGUUAGGGCCUUCAUGGCCUGACCUUCAACCCUAUGUCUACUAUACCGUGUUGCUUUGGCGGGUCCGCCCUUUGGGGCCGCCGGGGGCUUUACAGCUCCUGGCCCGUGCCCGCCAGUAGCCUUCUUAAAUUCUUUUUAUAACCUUGUUGUCUGAGUCCAAAUAUUAAAUCAUUUUAAAACUUUCAACAACGGAUCUCUUGGUUCUGGCAUCGAUGAAGAACGCAGCGAAAUGCGAUAAGUAAUGCGAAUUGCAGAAUUCAGUGAGUCAUCGAAUCUUUGAACGCACAUUGCGCCCUUUGGUAUUCCGAAGGGCAUGCCUGUUCGAGCGUCAUUAUCAACCAUCAAGCCUGGCUUGUCGUUGGACCCCUUUGUCGCCCGGCGACAGAUCCAAAAGAUAAUGACCGGUGUCGUGGUGACCCCACAUGCAACGAGCUUGUAAGAGCAUGCACUUGGUGGUCGUCCGGCUCGGUUGUCACCCUUUAUUUUCUCAAGGUUGACCUCGGAUCAGGUAGGAAUACCCGCUGAACUUAAGCAUAUCAAUAAGCGGAGGA